GACGAACCAUGCAAACGUUAUUCGGAUUCACUGGGCUUAAAGCGUGCGUAGGCGGCUUGUCACGUCUGCUGUGAAAUCUCCUCGCUCAACGGGGAGCAGCCAUUGGAAACUACAAGACUGGAGUCUGACAGAGGUAGGCGGAAUUCCGGGUGGAGUGGUGAAAUGCGUAGAGAUCCGGAGGAACACCAGAGGCGAAGGCGGCCUACUGGGUCAGUACUGACGCUGAGCCGCGAAAGCCAGGGGAGCGAACGGG
rnacentral:rRNA from 1 species